GAUGAACGCUAGCGAUAGGCUUAACACAUGCAAGUCGAGGGCAGCAUGAUCUUAGCUUGCUAAGGUCGAUGGCGACCGGCGCACGGGUGCGUAACGCGUAUGCAACUUGCCUUACAGAGGGGGAUAACCCGUUGAAAGACGGACUAAAACCGCAUACACUUGUAUUAUUGCAUGAUAUUACAAGGAAAUAUUUAUAGCUGUAAGAUAGGCAUGCGUCCCACUAGCUGGUUGGUGAGGUAACGGCUCACCAAGGCGACGAUGGGUAGGGGAACUGAGAGGUUUAUCCCCCACACUGGUACUGAGGCACGGACCAGACUCCUACGGGAGGCAGCAGUGAGGAAUAUUGGUCAAUGGGCGAGAGCCUGAACCAGCCAAGUCGCGUGAAGGAAGACAGUCCUAAGGAUUGUAAACUUCUUUUAUACGGGAAUAACGGGCGAUACGAGUAUUGCAU
rnacentral:rRNA from 1 species